rnacentral:rRNA from 1 species
UACGUAGGGGGCGAGCGUUGUCCGGAUUUAUUGGGCGUAAAGAGCGUGUAGGCGGCCAGGUAGGUCCGCUGUGAAAACUCGAGGCUCAACCUCGAGACGCCGGUGGAAACCAUCAGACUAGAGUCCGGAAGAGGAGAGUGGAAUUCCUGGUGUAGCGGUGAAAUGCGCAGAUAUCAGGAAGAACACCCGUGGCUAAGGCGGCUCUCUAGUACGGUACUGACGCUGAGACGCGAAAGCGUGGGGAGCGAACAGG